UACGUAGGGUGCGAGCGUUAAUCGGAAUUACUGGGCGUAAAGCGUGCGUAGGCGGUUCCUCAAGUCCGUUGUGAAAGCCCCGGGCUCAACCUGGGAAUGGCAGUGGAAACUAGGGGACUGGAAUCUGGCAGAGGGGGGUGGAAUGCCGCGUGUAGCAGUGAAAUGCGUAGAUAUCGAGAGGAACACCUGCGGCGAAGGCGGGUUGCUGGGCUGACACUGACACUGAAGCGCGAAAGCUAGGGGAGCGAACGGG
rnacentral:rRNA from 1 species